GCAUAUCAUAGCGGAGGAAAAGAAACCAACAGGGAUUACCUCAGUAACGGCGAGUGAAGCGGUAACAGCUCAAAUUUGAAAUCUGGCUCUUUCAGGGUCCGAGUUGUAAUUUGUAGAAGAUGCUUCGGGUGUGGCUCCGGUCUAAGUUCCUUGGAACAGGACGUCAUAGAGGGUGAGAAUCCCGUAUGUGACUGGCUGCCUCCGCUCAUGUGAAGCUCUUUCGACGAGUCGAGUUGUUUGGGAAUGCAGCUCAAAAUGGGUGGUAAAUUUCAUCUAAAGCUAAAUAUUGGCCAGAGACCGAUAGCGCACAAGUAGAGUGAUCGAAAGAUGAAAAGCACUUUGGAAAGAGAGUUAAACAGUACGUGAAAUUGUUGAAAGGGAAGCGCUUGCAAUCAGACUUGCGCGCUGCUGAUCAUCCGGGGUUCUCCCCGGUGCACUCGGUAGCGCUCAGGCCAGCAUCGGUUUGGGUGGUUGGAUAAAGGCCUUGGGAAUGUAGCUUCUUUCGGGGAGUGUUAUAGCCCUCGGUGCAAUGCAGCCUAUCCGGACCGAGGACCGCGCUUCGGCUAGGAUGCUGGCGUAAUGGUUGUAAGCGACCCGUCUUGAAACACGGACCAAGGAGUCUAACAUUUAUGCGAGUUUUAGGGUGUUAAACCCUAGAGCGUAAUGAAAGUGAACGGAGGUGAGAACCCUUAAGGGUGCAUCAUCGACCGGUCCUGAUGUCUUCGGAUGGAUCUGAGUAAGAGCAUAACUGUUGGGACCCGAAAGAUGGUGAACUAUGCCUGAAUAGGGUGAAGCCAGAGGAAACUCUGGUGGGAGGCUCGCAGCGGUUCUGACGUGCAAAUCGAUCGUCAAAUUUGGGUAUAGGGGCGAAAGACUAAAUCGAAACCAUCUAGUAGCUGGGUUCCUGCGGA
rnacentral:rRNA from 1 species